GACGAACGCUGGCGGCGUGCUUAACACAUGCAAGUCGAACGGUGAAGCGCCUUCCUUUUUGGUGGGUGUGGAUGAGUGGCGAACGGGUGAGUAACACGUGAGUAACCUGCCCCCUUCUUCUGGAUAACCGCAUGAAAGUGUGGCUAAUACGGGAUAUUCUGGGUCUGUCGCAUGAUGGGUCUGGGAAAGAUAUUGUUUCGGUGGGGGAUGGGCUCGCGGCCUAUCAGCUUGUUGGUGGGGUGAUGGCCUACCAAGGCGGUGACGGGUAGCCGGCCUGAGAGGGUGGGCGGUCACACUGGGGCUGAGACACGGCCCAGACUCCUACGGGAGGCAGCAGGGGGGAAUAGUGCACAAUGGGCGCAAGCCUGAUGCAGCGACGCCGCGUGAGGGAUGGAGGCCUUCGGGUUGUGAACCUCUUUCGCCAGUGAAGCAGGCCUGCCUCGUUUGUGGGUGGGUUGACGGUAGCUGGAUAAGAAGCGCCGGCUAACUACGUG
rnacentral:rRNA from 1 species